AGGACGAACGCUGGCGGCGUGCCUAAUACAUGCAAGUCGAACGGUCUUUCUAUGGAAGCUUGCUUCCACUGAGAAGAUAGUGGCGAACGGGUGAGUAACACGUGGGUAACCUGCCCAUAAGAGGGGGGAUAACAUCCGGAAACGGGUGCUAAUACCGCAUAGUUUUCUUGAUCGCAUGAUCGGGAAAGGAAAGACGGCCUUUGUGCUGUCGCUUAUGGAUGGACCCGCGGCGUAUUAGUUAGUUGGUGAGGUAACGGCUCACCAAGACGAUGAUACGUAGCCGACCUGAGAGGGUGAUCGGCCACAUUGGGACUGAGGCACGGCCCAAACUCCUACGGGAGGCAGCAGUAGGGAAUCUUCCGCAAUGGACGAAAGUCUGACGGAGCAACGCCGCGUGAGUGAAGAAAGGUUUUCGGAUCGUAAAGCUCUGUUGUCAGAGAAGAACAAGUUGGAGAGUAACUGCUCCAGCCUUGACGGUAUCUGACCAGAAAGCCACGGCUAACUACGUGCCAGCCGCCGC
rnacentral:rRNA from 1 species